rnacentral:sRNA from 1 species
CUACGAGACAACGGACUCAGAAUAUGAGUC